rnacentral:sRNA from 1 species
CCGAAGAUCGAGAAUAGGAGUAUAUCAAACUCAUAGUAUUGCUCAGGAUAGUAUAUAGAUAGCUGAUUCAUCGAGGACCACCGUUGGAUUUGCAUCCUCCAAACUAUAGAUUCACAUUCUUUCUUACUUUUGGUCGCUCGUGGGUCCACGUGUCACUAUGAUGAAGGAAUUUGAAAUAAUUGACUUGGGGAAGAUGAGCUAUUUUUUGGGGAUGGAAGUGCAACAAUCUACAAGAUAGAUUUUCUUGCAUCAAGCUAAGUAUGCUAAGGACCUACUGAAAAGGUUUGAUAUGAGCUUGUGUAAGGUGGUAAGCACACCUUUCACUACUGGAGCUAAGUUUAGCAAAGAAGAUGGUUCUCCCAAAGCCAAUGGACAGAUUUACAGAAGCAUUAUUGGAUCUCUCUUAUACCUGUUUGCUACCAAGCCAGACAUAAUGUUUGCAACCUGGUUGUUGUCAAGGUUUAUGCAAGAACCUUCACAAAUACACUUCACAGCUGCCAAACGGAUUCCAAGUUCAAUAUCGGAGAACUACACAUAUUAGGGUCAAAUAUCAUGCCCUGAAAGAAGCUGUAAAAGAGAAUGAAGGUGAGUUGAAACACUGCAAGACAGAGAACCAGUUGGCUGACAUUUUUACCAAGAGCUUGGGAAGAGAAAGGUUUGAGCAUCUCAGAUCGUGUCUUGGAGUUCAGCAGAUUAUGAAUCAUGGGGCAGUGUUGAAGUACUGAUUCCCAACCUAGUUAAAUAUGUGGCUCGAACUAGCUGAAAAUUAAAGGUUGAAGAAGAUUCUCAACAAGGGAUCGUUUUUAGUUUGCUGCUGAUUUACUAAACAUUAACGAGUCCUGUCUUUUUUAAACUCUUGUAAUUAAUAUAGUAAAAUAGGAUGUAUGUGUCAUUUAAGUCUUUUGUUGUAGGCUUAACAACCAUGUUUACCGGGUAGUGUACUGGGUGGUUUAGUUACAAUUACCACAACAUAGAAAACAAAGACACGUUGUUUGUGUCUAGAAAAAUACGCUUAGAUUAAGUCUUCUAAGGCUGAAUGAAAGGAUUGAAUGGUUUUAGGUGAUUAUAAAUACUUGCAAAGUAACUGUUAUUGUGAGUGGCUUAUGAUUCUCAGAUUUGAUGU